GAUGGCCUGGUUUAUGGGGGCGGCAAGUUUAUGGUUUGGCUUUGGCUGUUCCAUUUUGCUGGUCGUUG
rnacentral:tRNA from 1 species